UCCAUCUGCAUCGGGUUCGCAUUGAUUGAGAUAUUGUAUACAGAUAAGUAAGCAGCAUUUCGGAACACCCCUAUUUUUGUUUGUCUCUCUGCUGCAGCAGUAUGAACUUUUAGCCCCCUACGAUAAUCAGAACCCAUUUCGAUCGUCUCAUCAGCUACUAGCAUUUCGUUGAAGAAAAUAUGGGUCACAUAAAUAGAGUGCCUAAUAACAUUAAAUCGAAAGGCGAGUCAUAUUCAUUCGAGUCAGCGAAUUGAACCUUGACCUUGCCAAAAUGUUGACUCGGUAAAGAUUUCCUUCGCGAGGUUUCGUCGAUCCAACGAAAUUGAAGUUGUAACAAGUGACUUUUUGUCAGCGUAAGAAUUCCGAUGCUUGAUAAAUCAGUCAAGCACACACGAUGCCUUGUUGGCGAAUGUAAGUUGGCUCAUUGCUGUGUUCGGGUGUUGGUAUCGCUACCCUCUAAAGUUAACACGAGCCAGCGAGCGGGGGUGACACCUCGUGUACAGAGAGAUUCUCAUCGAGCGAUGACGUUUACACGGAUCGGGGAGUGUCUCGUGAGAAGAAGAAAGAGGGAGCGAGAGCCGGGGAGCAAGAUAAGUGAGUGCCAGGGUAGCCAGGCGUAUAUCGCGGCCGCCUGUCGAGUAUGCCACGCAAUAAAGUACAAGUAUCGUCGUUAUAUACGAGACAUAUAUGUACAAAUGAGUGUAUACGUUGCUUACAUAUGUAUGAAACGUACAGAACAUACAGAGGGAGCAAAAGAACGUGGUCGCGAGCGGUUUCCUAGUGCGUGCGCAUUAUCCGGUCUCGGAGCGAAGCCGCCCUCGGCCGGAACCCGGUCAGCGUUGUCGAUGCGACCACACGAUCUCGAGGAGGUGUGGGAUGAAUGGGCGCGUGUUACGCUGCGUUGCUCCUGGUGCUUCAACGAGCCACGAACACACACGCGACUUUGCGUGAGCUUUUCUUUCGCGGUCUUCAAUUAAAAGCGACAGACAUAUCAAAUACGUUAAUUACUAAAUGGACGAAUACGGUGUAAUGUAGUUUGUUGUCUCAAUGGCGAGCGUCGCACAAACGCGAUAUUCAUCAGCAUUUUUGCACAUUUUCUUUCCAUAUAGAACGCUUCCCUAUUCUACGCUUCUCAAACGAACUGCUAUAACACCCUGCCAUUGUCUCAGCUCGCAGUGUAGGACUCGAGCCUACAAUGUACGUGCGGCCUGAUUCCAUAGAAGCGUAAUGAAAACAAGCGCCCCUAGCCAUGCCUUGUUAUGAUAAAAUGAAGUAUUUAGGCCACCGCAUGUUUUGCUGCUGUUCCUUUGCGUUUCUCCACAUCCGAUGCCUCAUUGUUGCUGUUUUCAUUUUCAUUUUAUAUCCGAUUAAUCAAAAACGAUGUGUAGAGCGCAUAUGUGACAACGGAAAAUGCGGAGGUUUGUGUUUUAUCGCGGUACUUGUAUAUAACCCAGUGCAAAAUGAUCAUUGUGAAUGAGCCACCCACUCGCGAAGGAAAAUAAAGAUGGAGAGUUGCGUCGACUACGUAAUUAAGAUCCAAUUGUUGUAUUCUCCUCGUGGUAAAAGAUCUGCGAGUGUAAGAGCUAUGGGAGCCGUGUAAAAUGUGUAUAUUCUGUAUACUCAAAUACAUUUGGACUCUACUUGCCAGUACUUAAUGUGCAAAACCCUCUUAUUUUAUCCCUCUCGUUGCUCGCCUCCGACUUAGAUCUCUUCCUCGUGCGCUCCGCACCAUUCGAAGAUUUUAUACCAUGCGACAGUCUCCGGGUCUCAAUGCAUCCUCUCCAUGCCACUUUGGCGACUCCUCACGACGGAACAGAAGCUCCGGUGCUCCGCCGCCCGCGCGCCGGGAAUAGCUUUCUCUAUCGUCGGCGUUCUUUCUCCGCACUGUUUCUCGUGCUGCCGCGGAGUUCUGAACCGAAAGACGUCUCUGAGUCGGUCCUCGUGGUCGUUGAGUCCCUUCCAACUGCUUUGGUUAUGCUUCCACGUCGUUUUAUACGAUCCAACAUGGAAUUUUCAGGAGAUUAAAUAAAACCUAUGAAUUGAAAUGCAUUUUCAUUGCAAUUCGAUUAUUAAAAAAUCAAUGAUCGAAGAGGGUCUCAGGAAAUUUACGAUUCUAAGCUUAACCGAACAACAAUUUCGUUCGUAUCAUUUCGACUUCAGUUGCGCGCGCUUCCACACGCAAUUGUUUUCUCCUGCGCGAAGGAAUCACGAUAAAUGUUCACGCCAGGAUGAUUUCCGAGUUAUCGCAUCAUUUACCGAUAUACACGAAAUUUUGUAUGUUGUUUUUACUAUUCUCACCAAUGGCUGCGAAUUUUCUCGAUAUUUUCUUAUUACCCUUCGACGAAUUAUUCCUGCAAACUUAUCAGAGAAUCGCUCAUUCCGAGACGAUUUAAUUCCUGGAGUGUAAAAGAAUAAUUAAAUUUAGAGGCUGUCAUGAGCGAAAAAAAUGCAUAGAACUUUGGCCACACGAUCAUUCGAAAGAUACAUAAAAGGACGAUUAAGGCAUCGGAACGACCUCGGCGGACCAUGCAGCGGUAACGCAGCGGAGAUGCUUUUCGAGAGUUUUGCGAAGAAUAAACACGCUUCUGUGUACAAGAGUUGAGAAAAAGAGAGAAGCGUUAAAGCGUAAAGGAGAAAAAAGGAUGUCGAGAAGGGCAAGGUAGUAAAGGUUUCCGCUCGAUCGAACGUCGAGAUGCUCGAUGUGGCGCGACGAUACAGGAUAUCGUGUGCGUUCGCGACUCCGACUAUGCUCGUCGCGCACGAGCGACCGAAUGCUAUCGUGUGUGGAGUGCACUGUUUCCAGCGACGUUUUUAUAUCUAU
rnacentral:lncRNA from 1 species